ACUAAUAUGGCAGACAAUUGCAAUAGAUUUAAGCUCUAUAAAUAAAGGACUAGACCUUUUAUUAGCA
rnacentral:tRNA from 1 species